AAACAAAGGGAGCUGACAGCUCCACAACACUCAGCCCAUGGGGACCGAAGCAGGUGAGUCUCCACCCAGCCUCUCUCCUUUGGACCAACAUGAACUCUGGAGACGUCUGGGUGCAGCUGCCUCAGGCCCCACUGUCUUCAACGGGGACUGAGGUUGCAGUUUAGCUGGCUUUCCUGUUCCUGCUUCCCUGGGUCCCCCUCAAAGAAGCCGCCUGCACCCCUGUGCCACCUCACUCUGGCAUAACCCUACUCCUCCAAACCACCAGGCCUGCCCUCCCUUGUCCACACAGAUCUGACAAUCUCCACAGUGCUGUGCAGACUUCAGCUCCAAGAAGUUGCAAAUGAUGGAGAUAAAAUCCUUUCCUGAGAGAGUCAUGAACCGUGGCCUGUUUGAGGUCAAAAGAAAAAAUGAGAACAAAGAACAAGCCAAGGCUUCGGAGUGAGCCCUGAGACACCUCUCAGCUGGCCUGAUGGCCAGAGAUCCACCCUGCAGGAGCCGCACCGAGGAAGGUGGGCCACGUCUCCCAGCAAGCGGCAUACAAGAAGGCCCCUCCCAAGAGGAGGCAUCUGUGGUCUUCCCAGAGCAAAGGCAGCAGCCUCGGGAGCCCAGCCAGUCACUGGCCACCUGCACGCCUCUACACGGCAGACCUGGCCAGGCGGGCAGUGCCCAUGGCCCCUUACGAAUAGAAUGUGGUGGAGCAGGCGGAACCUGGGCGGCUGUCCUGCACUCCGGCCAGCCAGUCCGUGGAUGCUCCUGCCAGGCAGGACUGAGCCACUCCCAGUCUGGCCGGUGCCAGCUUUUUCUCAGAUCCAGCCACGCCCUCUCUGGAUACGGACUGGACACUAGCAGACCAAGCAGGCAGUUGCCUCCCUGGCUGGCUCUGACCUCCUGCAGCACAAGGAGAGGAUGCAUUGCCCUUCCAGGCAUCCGGGCACCGAGGGCCGCUGCUCCGCCAUCUCUUUCUGCUACCACUAACUCAAAACAGGCCAGGGAGCAGCUAGGCAGCAGCUGGGAGAGCUGCGGGCCCCUCCACCCGGUUGCUGCUGGGCUCCAUCCGGCCGCACCGCCCGCACAUGCUCACGUCCAGCUGCCUCGGCCCAGCGGCACGGAUGGACUCAACGGCGACACCGCGGCAGCUCCCAGGGGACUCCCCACAGGUCAGCUGAGCUUUGCUUGCAGUCAGCGUGCACGGUUCCCAAAUGUCGGUGGUGAUUUUUGUAAGCGAGGCGGGAGGUCAGCACAGGAAGAGCGGGGAGGCAAACCUCCCUUCCCGCUGUUGCCCGCCUUUUCCUCCUGGCCGUUGCCUUUCCACGUUGUCCUCCCUGCUGCCUGCCCCAGCCCACACUCAGCAGGAAGGUGGGGUGUGGGCGGGGAGGCGAGUGGAACUGAGGGAAGCAGAAAGGGUGGUGCCAUUGUCUCCGGCCUAGCUUCUGUUUGAUCAUUAGUUUCAAUUCACGAAAACGUUCUUUUGAGGGAAUUUUAAAAAUCAAUCACGUGCACCUCUUGAGUUAAGAAAACCAAGUGUCACAAUCGUUGUUACCAUGCAGGUGAGAGGAGAGGAGGGAGGAUGGGAAAGUGAAGGGGCGUGAGAAAGGCGGAUGCGACUGAGCAUCUACAGCUCACUGGCCGCCGCCUACGUGCUGGCCCUCCCGGUCCACAGCACCGGCGGCAUCUUCCGCAUCCUACAGCGAGGAGGUGGACGUUGCCCCAGGGUGAGGAGCAUGUCAGGGUGGCUUCCAGGUUCAGGUUCUCGCCCAGGCCUCAGCCUUCAUAUGUACAUUCUGCUCUAGAACAUUCCUGUUCAUGCGUGGUCAUCGCUCACUGGUGGCCGCUUAGGUGCACUUCUCGAUGGCACUGCCCAGCACGGAGCAAUGCCUCUGAGUGGCAGUUUCUUCCGUACGGUCCCCACGGCCCCUCCCAAGGCGGACGAUGCUGCCGCCAAGGAAACUGGCUCACCACGGACGCUGGUGAGCUAUGGCGCUAUCAGUGAGGUGUGGAUUUCUGAGGCCUCUGGCAGGAGCCGGAGUAAAGGCCCUGAGUGUCUAGACCAGCCAGAGUGUCUGAGUGUAGGUCAGCAAAUGUGGGCAAAUGUCUAGGAGGUGGUGUCCUGCAGGGAGCCGAAGGCCCGUGGGGAACGUGACCAACUCAGCAGAGCCGAAGGCCCGUGGGGAACGUGACCAACUCAGCAUUCCGCUGGAGGCUACAAACAGCAAACUGUUUAUCAUGAAUGCAGGAUGUGGGCAAACUCACACUGUCCUGCCACCAAAAGGUUUGCUAACAGACAACACUCCCUAGCUCCGGGCUCCUUAAAGUUAUCUGCUUAAAAAAUCUAGCGCCUAUUGUCCAAAAAAUGCAAGCCUACUGUGAACCAAACGGCAGACUUACAGUUACCCCCCACUUUCUCGCUAUCUCUUUUGCCUAAUAAAUACGGAGGGCUGUGUAAAGCUCAGGGCCCUUGUCCACUAAAGGCAAGGUGCCCCCGACCCCUUCUUCCAAAUAUACUCUUUUGUCUCUUGUCUUUUAUUCCCGUGUUGCCCCCCUUUGUUCAGUCUGAUAGGUCCGCAACAGUGUCCCGAGGGUAUGAAUCCUGAAAGACAGCUCUCCACUAAGCAGGUAUUUACCAGGUUAGUGCGUGUUUCCUGGAUAUUAAGGGAAAACAGUAAAAUGUUCUGUACGGGGGUCCCUGUGCUGUGUUGCACGAGAAGAGAGUGUGUCUUUUUACUUUUUUAAUGUGGCUCAAUAAAAUAUUAAAUCACA
rnacentral:lncRNA from 1 species